UACGUAGGGUGCAAGCGUUUAAUCGGAAUUACUGGGCGUAAAGCGUGCGCAGGCGGUUAUGUAAGACAGAUGUGAAAUGCCCGGGCUUAACCUGGGAACUGCAUUUGUGACUGCAUGGCUAGAGUGUGUCAGAGGGGGGGUAGAAUUCCACGUGUAGCAGUGAAAUGCGUAGAGAUGUGGAGGAAUACCGAUGGCGAAGGCAGCCCCCCUGGGCCAAUACUGACGCUCAUGCACGGAAAGCGUGGGGAGCAAACAGG
rnacentral:rRNA from 1 species